AGUGAACGCUGGCGGUAGGCCUAACACAUGCAAGUCGAACGGCAGCACAGUAAGAGCUUGCUCUUACGGGUGGCGAGUGGCGGACGGGUGAGGAAUACAUCGGAAUCUACUUUUUCGUGGGGGUUAACGUAGGGAAACUUACGCUAAUACCGCAUACGACCUACGGGUGAAAGCAUGGGAUCUUCGGACCUUGCGCGAUUGAAUGAGCCGAUGUCGGAUUAGCUAGUUGGCGGGGUAAAGGCCCACCAAGGCGACGAUCCGUAGCUGGUCUGAGAGGAUGAUCAGCCACACGGGAAGUGAGACACGGUCCAGACUCCUACGGGAGGCAGCAGUGGGGAAUAUUGGACAAUGGGCGCGAGCCUGAUCCAGCCAUACCGAGUGGGUGAAGAAGGCCUUCGGGUUGUAAAGCCCUUUUGUUGGGAGAGAAAAGCAGCAGGUUAAUACCCCGCUGGUCUGACGGUACCCGAAGAAUAAGCACCGGCUAACUUCGUG
rnacentral:rRNA from 1 species